ensembl:lncRNA
AUGAUGCAACACUCAGUUAACUCUUUACACACUUGCAUAGUGGACAGCAGACAGUGCAUGAUGCAAUCACAGUAUAUGAUGCAAUCCCCAGCACACAUUGCAUACAUGACUCAAUUACAUUUAAACAACUCUCUAUAUACAAUCAUUCCCACUUCAACAAUGACAACAACAACAAUAAGAAUCAAUACCAUUACAGGCAAGAAGCAGCCAGGCACUGAGGCUGAGGGGCCAGUCAGUGCUACACUGGGCCUCCAAAAAAAACAACAACAACAACAAUACAGUAGCAUCUAACUUAUCCAACCUUCAUGACCACCACCACAACAACAAUAAUAAACACCUACACAGGCAAAACAAAAAAAGACUAUUGUACCACAAUAAAAAUAUAAACCGCACUCAGCAGAAUCAGACAUCACGAUUAACAACAAACCAAAGACAACAGGAAUCUCAAGCAAUUAUCAACACAAAAAUUGAAGAAUACUACUACUAAUGUGAGUAUAAAGAAGGGUGGAGGUCACAGCAUAAAUACAACCUAAUGUAGACUGACCAACGCCACCAGACUAAGCCACAGCAACACGUGGCCGGGCACAGCUAGUAGUAUAUACAAUGCAAUAAUUUUCAGAAAGGUAGCAGUGUUACUUCAGCAGAAACAAGGAGUCAGAAAUUAGGGAAUUUUAACAUUUAACAAGUAGUCCAUGAAAGUUUAUUCCAGAGUUAAUGUGUCAGUCUGUAAAAUGUGCAUGUGCCUUCAAGUUACCUGUUGACUUAUAGUGACACCAUGGAUUUCAUAGGGUUGUCAUUUGCCAGCUGCUUCCUCUGAAAGAUUGCCUACAGCACCAGGUAUUCAUUGGUGGUCUCCCAACCAAGUAUUAACCAGGGCUGACUCUAUGUUAAUUUUGCAGUAAAAUAAAUAAAAUGAUACCCUAAUUAGGAACCAAAUUAAGCAACUAGCAGUAACAACAGAAACACUGCUGAAGUACCAGCAUUAAAAGUUGCCAUAAACGGAGAUGUUAAUUAAAAGAUAAUGUGGAAGGAACAUAAUAUAUUCAGAGGAUAAUUGCCCCCAUUGCCAAAUAAAUGCCAAGGUGAAGCCCAGGCAUCCAUCAAAAGUAAACAUUAACACAAAGGAAAGAGGUUUUAAAUUGGAUACAAUUUAUCUGCAGAUGUCAUGGUCGGGCAUCAUUUACAUUCUGAAAAUAAAAUGAUAAAGCUUUCCCAUUACUCCUUUGAUGGAUAUUGUCGCUGCCUGUUGUUAGUGGCAUAUUCACUGAUUAGAUGUGCUCACAGAAGAGAAGUUUCCUUCUUUUUAGUAUAUAUGCAAGAAGGUUAAACAAAUGCUUUUAAACUCUUAGGGCUGCUGCUGACAGUGCAGUACUGAAAGUAAUAAGAAAUGCUUUUCUAUAAUUAUUUUGGAAGACAAACUUCAUAACUGUAUGGUUCCAAAAAAAUAAUUUUCAGUUCCUCUAUUUGGGUUAUAUUCACCAGAAAACUGAAUAAAAAUUUACAAUGUCUGUUAAUUAACUUUAAAUAAUUUUAACCCUCAUUCUCCAAUACUCAUACUCUUCCCUCACCACUGUACAAAUUCCACUAUCAAAAUACGUGUUUCACACAGAAGCAUCUAAUGUUUAUGCUUUUCAUCAACAUUUGAAAAGUUACUUUCUUUUUUUAUAAUAUUUGCUAUUAUGGAGAUACCACGGACAGUGGCCAUGUUGGCAAUGAGAUUCAAGGAGUUGUAGUCCACAAAGUAAUACUUUAAACUGCUGAUAUUUUCCAAUGUGCAUUGUGUGAAUGAAGACAGACCCAACUUCCUACAGCUUUGGACCACAACAGAAUGGUGUUCAGAGCUCUUUAUGCUGGAACAAGGAAAUACUUUUUGCAGCACCAGAACUAAGAUAAGCCAAACUAUGAAAGAUGUUUUCAGAAGUAGGAAUUACGGUAUGUUCUUCCUUCUUUACCUAUAACAUAUUUAUACCAAUCAAAGCUUUUCAUAUCACUUUAUCUCUGUGACUUUAAAGCCUAUCCAGGUUGCUAUUUUUGACAAACUAGGAAGUGGUGAAAUAGUGGCAAUCUUAGGGUGGCGUGUUUUUAUACCGUUAUGGAUUCCUAAAGGUGGUGGAGAUUUAUUACCUCACCUAAUUAUUGAUAUGAGUAUCAUGCCACACUGUUAUAGUGUGAUUAUUCCACCCUAAGUGCCACUCCUAUAGAAGUAUGGGAUUUGUAAUUUAGAGAAGGGCACUUAGAACUUCAGCCAGGGAGCUCUUCGGUCUCACUAAACUACAAAUCCCAUAAUUCCACAGUGAAAGUGGAAUAUAAAUUGCUAUAACAGCACAAUGUGAUGUGGACCUUAGUAUAAUUAUACUGGCAUUUGAUGCCUAGAAGUUUUUAAAUCAGGACUGGAGAACCUGUAAUCCUUAGAUUUCAUUCCAGAUCCCAUCAGCCCUAGCUAUCUUGGCCAGUAGUGAGGCAUGAUAGGAGUACUACUUCAUUAAUAUUUGGAAGGAUGGAGGGACCUCAACUUGAUUUAAGUGUUGUUUUGAUUGCCUCACACAUGGUUCUGCUGUUGUGGGACUUGGGACUUAGAUGCACCCCAGUAUGUACAGAAAUUCACAUUUCUUUUUUGCAGUAGGAUCCUAAUUGUAGUGCCUUAAGUCUAAUUGCAUUUCAAUUACAUAUCUGUGUAAGCAACUCUUGAUAUUACCCAGAUGUUGUCCAGUGUUUAUAGGCUUUACUG